UCCAGGGUAGCCUAGUGGACAUGGCAUCUGCCAGGUAAGCGGAACACAGUGGGUUCGAUUCCCAUCCCUGGAC
rnacentral:tRNA from 1 species